AAUGAUCUUAGGCAAAUAACUUCUCCAAGCCCAGAGUCCCCAUCUACACUGGGGACAUUGUAGCAUUGUUGGUAAAGCUUAGCAAAGUAUUUCCAGAAAUAUGCCCGCCACACACAGUAGUCACUUAAUAAAUAUUUGUUCUUUCCUCUUUCUAAUCCCUGACCGCCCCUCUCAAAUGGAAACACCAGCCGUCAAGGACAUCACGAACAUUCUGAAAACUACAAGUCGGUCAGAAUUUAUUGGAGCCAAUGCUGAGGGUGAUGAGGGGCCCACAGUGGAACUUCUCCAUGGAUCAGCAACAGCGACAAUGGGGGCCUUCAACUUCUAGCUUCCUCUUGGAUGCCCAGAGCUCCGAGAGUGCUGUUCUAUGGACCCCAGGAAGCUGCCACACCCCAAGCCUCUACCCUUCUUCUCCUCAGCUUCAGAACCUGCAUGUCUCUGGAAGUCAUUAAAGCUCUUCAGGUAAGCCAGCUCUCUCCUCCCAGGCAUUAUCCUUGCACUUAGUAAGUUCACAUGACUAGCUCUGGUUAUAAGGUUGGGAGUAGAGGCAAGAGGUAUCUCUUCCAGGCCAAGGCACUGAAUUACUAAUGCAAGACCCUCUAGGGUGCUUUUUGGUCAGACUCUAGCGACCUGUAAUAUUUGAGAUAGUGAUUACUCUAUUAACCCAAAUCCCAGAGUGAAGGAAUGUGGAGCAGAGCUCCAGCUCAACUGCAAAAGGCAUGAUGUGAAAAUGAGAGAUAAGCUAUUGUUUUCAGAAACCAGUAACUUUGGGAGAUACGUUGUUUUUUGUGUGUGUGUAUUAGCAUAACCUCGUGCAUACUGUGACUGAUACAGCAUCUGGUACUUCUCCGUCCCAUCAGAAUACAUGAAAAGAUGGACCCCUCGAGGGCAGAGACUAUCCAUAUUGUCAUGUUCCCUUAGGUUGUAUCAGGGCCUUUGCAGUGCCUAAGGUAUGGGCAAUAAUCUACAAAUAUUUGUUAAUUCUAAAAAUAAAUGAGACUCUACUACUGUUGAUGGUGACA
rnacentral:lncRNA from 1 species